AAAGAGCUCGUAGGCGCGUUUGUCGCGUCUGCUGUGAAAUCCGGAGGCUCAACCUCCGGCCUGCAGUGGGUACGGGCAGACUAGAGUGCGGUAGGGGAGAUUGGAAUUCCUGGUGUAGCGGUGGAAUGCGCAGAUAUCAGGAGGAACACCGAUGGCGAAGGCAGAUCUCUGGGCCGUAACUGACGCUGAGGAGCGAAAGGGUGGGGAGCAAACAGGCUUAGAUACCCUGGUAGUCCACCCCGUAAACGUUGGGAACUAGUUGUGGGGUCCAUUCCACGGAUUCCGUGACGCAGCUAACGCAUUAAGUUCCCCGCCUGGGGAGUACGGCCGCAAGGCUAAAACUCAAAGGAAUUGACGGGGACCCGCACAAGCGGCGGAGCAUGCGGAUUAAUUCGAUGCAACGCGAAGAACCUUACCAAGGCUUGACAUAUACGAGAACGGGCCAGAAAUGGUCAACUCUUUGGACACUCGUAAACAGGUGGUGCAUGGUUGUCGUCAGCUCGUGUCGUGAGAUGUUGGGUUAAGUCCCGCAACGAGCGCAACCCUCGUUCUAUGUUGCCAGCACGUAAUGGUGGGAACUCAUGGGAUACUGCCGGGGUCAACUCGGAGGAAGGUGGGGAUGACGUCAAAUCAUCAUGCCCCUUAUGUCUUGGGCUUCACGCAUGCUACAAUGGCCGGUACAAAGGGCUGCAAUACCGCGAGGUGGAGCGAAUCCCAAAAAGCCGGUCCCAGUUCGGAUUGAGGUCUGCAACUCGACCUCAUGAAGUCGGAGUCGCUAGUAAUCGCAGAUCAGCAACGCUGCGGUGAAUACGUUCCCGGGUCUUGUACACACCGCCCGUCAAGUCAUGAAAGUCGGUAACACCUGAAGCCGGUGGCCUAACCCUUGUGGAGGGAGCCGUCGAAAGUGGGAUCGGUAAUUAGGACGAAGUCGUACAGGGUA
rnacentral:rRNA from 2 species